rnacentral:rRNA from 1 species
GAUGAACGCUGGCGGCGUGCCUAAUACAUGCAAGUCGAGCGAACAGACGAGGAGCUUGCUCCUCUGAUGUUAGCGGCGGACGGGCGAGUAACACGUGGAUAACCUACCUAUAAGACUGGGAUAACUUCGGGAAACCGGAGCUAAUACCGGAUAACAUGUUGAACCGCAUGGUUCAACAGUGAAAGACGGUCUUGCUGUCACUUAUAGAUGGAUCCGCGCCGCAUUAGCUAGUUGGUAAGGUAACGGCUUACCAAGGCAACGAUGCGUAGCCGACCUGAGAGGCUGAUCGGCUACACUGGAACUGAGACACGGUCCAGACUCCUACGGGAGGCAGCAGUAGGGAAUCUUCCGCAAUGGGCGAAAGCCUGACGGAGCAACGCCGCGUGAGUGAAGAAGGUCUUCGGAUCGUAAGACUCUGUUAUUAGGGAAGAACAAAUGUGUAAGUAACUAUGCCCGUCUUGACGGUACCUAAUCAGAAGGCCACGGCUAACUACGUG